CGAGGCUCCGCCUCCAACGCUGUUUCCGGGUUCACUCUUUGACACCCAUGAUUAUCCUCCUCACGUCAGGAUUUAGUGCCGAUUUUUUGGUGCUGCUGAGUUCUGAGUCCACGGAGAGACGCUCGCUCGCGCUGAUUAGACGAGGACGCAGACGACGUAAAUUGUCCAACGUUGUGAUCAGAUGACAGUUUGAUAAGGGUCAACGGUGCAUCGUCUGCUUCUGAUCUGAAAUAUAUCUCUAAAAAAAGUCACUUGGGUGUCAAAACGCUGAAGCAAACAAUCUGAAAUCCACAAAGUCACGGCUUCCUGAUUGUUUUCACCUGUCAUCACACCUGUCUCCUAUGCUCAUCAGUGUCAGCCGCCCCUGAUUGGUCCCACCUGUGUCUUGUUACCAUGUGCUUAAAUUCCCCUGUCUCC